rnacentral:rRNA from 1 species
CAGUCGAACGGAGCUGCUUUGAUGAAGUUUUCGGAUGGAUUUAAAACAGCUUAGUGGCGGACGGGUGAGUAACGCGUGGGUAACCUGCCUCACACUGGGGGAUAACAGUUAGAAAUAGCUGCUAAUACCGCAUAAGCGCACGGUUCCGCAUGGAACAGUGUGAAAAACUCCGGUGGUGUGAGAUGGACCCGCGUCUGAUUAGCCAGUUGGCGGGGUAACGGCCCACCAAAGCGACGAUCAGUAGCCGGCCUGAGAGGGUGAACGGCCACAUUGGGACUGAGACACGGCCCAAACUCCUACGGGAGGCAGCAGUGGGGAAUAUUGCACAAUGGGGGAAACCCUGAUGCAGCAACGCCGCGUGAGUGAAGAAGUAUUUCGGUAUGUAAAGCUCUAUCAGCAGGGAAGAAAGUGACGGUACCUGAAUAAGAAGCCCCGGCUAACUACGUGCCAGCAGCCGCGGUAAUACGUAGGGGGCAAGCGUUAUCCGGAUUUACUGGGUGUAAAGGGAGCGUAGACGGCAAGGCAAGUCUGAAGUGAAAGCCCGGUGCUUAACGCCGGGACUGCUUUGGAAACUGUUUAGCUGGAGUGCCGGAGAGGUAAGCGGAAUUCCUAGUGUAGCGGUGAAAUGCGUAGAUAUUAGGAAGAACACCAGUGGCGAAGGCGGCUUACUGGACGGUAACUGACGUUGAGGCUCGAAAGCGUGGGGAGCAAACAGGAUUAGAUACCCUGGUAGUCCACGCCGUANACGAUGAUUGCUAGGUGUA